AAACUGAAGAGUUUGAUCCUGGCUCAGAUUGAACGCUGGCGGCAUGCCUAACACAUGCAAGUCGAACGGUAACAGGCCGCUGGGAUCCCUUCGGGGUGACCUUGGCGCUGACGAGUGGCGAACGGGUGAGUAAUGCUUGGGAAUCUGCCCAGUAGUGGGGGACAACUCGGUGAAAACCGGGCUAAUACCGCGUACGUCCUACGGGAGAAAGUGGGGGAUCUUCGGACCUCACGCUAUUGGAUGAGCCCAAGUCGGAUUAGCUUGUUGGUGGGGUAAUGGCCUACCAAGGCGACGAUCCGUAGCUGGUCUGAGAGGACGAUCAGCCACACUGGGACUGAGACACGGCCCAGACUCCUACGGGAGGCAGCAGUGGGGAAUAUUGGACAAUGGGCGCAAGCCUGAUCCAGCAAUGCCGCGUGUGUGAUGAAGGCCUUAGGGUUGUAAAACACUUUCAUCGGUGACGAUAAUGACGGUAGCCGAAGAAGAAGCUCCGGCUAACUCCGUGCCAGCAGCCGCGGUAAUACGGAGGGAGCUAGCGUUGUUCGGAAUUACUGGGCGUAAAGCGUCCGC
rnacentral:rRNA from 1 species